CUUUCCAGCUUGCUGGAKAGGAAWGUGGCKCACGGGUGCGCUAACGCGUAGUGCAACCUACCUUCAUCAGGGGGAUAGCCCGGAGAAAUCCGGAUUAAUACCGCAUAAAAUCACAGGAUGGCAUUAUCCAAUGAUCAAACAUUUAUGGGAUGGAGAUGGGCAUGCGUGUCAUUAGCUAGUUGGCGGGGUAACGGCCCACCAAGGCGACGAUGACUAGGGGAUCUGAGAGGAUGGCCCCCCACACUGGUACUGAGACACGGACCAGACUCCUACGGGAGGCAGCAGUAAGGAAUAUUGGUCAAUGGAGGCAACUCUGAACCAGCCAUGCCGCGUGCAGGAAGACUGCCCUAUGGGUUGUAAACUGCUUUUAUCCGGGAAUAAACCUAAAUACGUGUAUUKAGCUGAAUGUACCGGAAGAAUAAGGAUCGGCUAACUCCGUGCCAGCAGCCGCGGUAAUACGGAGGAUCCAAGCGUUAUCCGGAUUUAUUGGGUUUAAAGGGUGCGUAGGCGGCCUGUUAAGUCAGGGGUGAAAGACGGUAGCUCAACUAUCGCAGUGCCCUUGAUACUGAUGGGCUUGAAUGGACUAGAGGUAGGCGGAAUGAGACAAGUAGCGGUGAAAUGCAUAGAUAUGUCUCAGAACACCGAUUGCGAAGGCAGCUUACUAUGGUCUUAUUGACGCUGAGGCACGAAAGCGUGGGGAUCAAACAGGAUUAGAUACCCUGGUAGUCCACGCCCUAAACGAUGAACACUCGCUGUUGGCGAUACACAGUCAGCGGCUAAGCGAAAGCGUUAAGUGUUCCACCUGGGGAGUACGCCCGCAAGGGUGAAACUCAAAGGAAUUGACGGGGGCCCGCACAAGCGGAGGAGCAUGUGGUUUAAUUCGAUGAUACGCGAGGAACCUUACCCGGGCUUGAAAGUUAGUGAAUGAUCC
rnacentral:rRNA from 1 species